rnacentral:rRNA from 1 species
ACCAGACGCUAAUAGACGGUACCCGCAGAAUAAGCACCGGCUAACUACGUGCCAGCAGCCGCGGUAAGACGUAGGGUGCGAGCGUUAAUCGGAAUUACUGGGCGUAAAGCGUGCGCAGGCGGCUUUGUAAGACAGGUGUGAAAUCCCCGGGCUUAACCUGGGAACUGCACUUGUGACUGCAAGGCUAGAGUGUGUCAGAGGGAGGUGGAAUUCCGCGUGUAGCAGUGAAAUGCGUAGAUAUGCGGAGGAACACCGAUGGCGAAGGCAGCCUCCUGGGAUAACACUGACGCUCAUGCACGAAAGCGUGGGGAGCAAACAGGAUUAGAUACCCUGGUAGUCCACGCCCUAAACGAUGUCAACUAGUUGUCGGGGAUUCGUUUCCUUGGUAACGCAGCUAACGCGUGAAGUUGACCGCCUGGGGAGUACGGCCGCAAGGUUAAAAACUCAAAGGAAUUGACGGGGGAC